UACGGAGGCAGCAGUGGGGAAUAUUGCACAAUGGGCGCAAGCCUGAUGCAGCCAUGCCGCGUGUAUGAAGAAGGCCUUCGGGUUGUAAAGUACUUUCAGUCGUGAGGAAGGUGUUAAGGUUAAUAACCUUAGCAAUUGACGUUAGCGACAGAAGAAGCACCGGCUAACUCCGUGCCAGCAGCCGCGGUAAUACGGAGGGUGCGAGCGUUAAUCGAAAUUACUGGGCGUAAAGGGCACGCAGGCGGUUAAUUAAGUUGGAUGUGAAAUCCCCGGGCUUAACCUGGGAAUGGCAUUCAAGCUGGUUAGCUAGAGUCUUGUAGAGGGGGUAGAAUUCCAUGUGUAGCGGUGAAAUGCGUAGAGAUGUGGAGGAAUACCGGUGGCGAAGGCGGCCCCUGGACAAAGGACUGACGCUCAUGUGCGAAAGCGUGGGGAGCAAAC
rnacentral:rRNA from 1 species